UGGAGGCCCAGGUGAAGCUGAGUGCUGAGCAGCACUGAGGUUUUCCUCCAGGGACCAGCCCCAGCACCGAGGUGGCCAGAGGAACCCGAAGCGCAGCCCUCUGGCAGGCAGUUCGGGGCCCCAUGCUCCACCCUCGCACGGACAUCGGCCGGGGCUGCCAGCGGAGACGGAAUCCGCUCCUGUCUGUCCAGCCAGGUGUGCAUGUGCUGAGAAAUCCCUACAAAAUCAACCACAAAAAAAAAAAAAAAAAAAAAAAGCUUCAAUCAAGCGCACAUAGCUCAAUCACACUGGAAAUGUCUGUCCUUGUCCUGAGCCUGUCCCCACUCCACAGGAGAGACCCGUCCUGCCCGGGGUUAGUCUCUCUUGCUUCUGCCCACCCCACCCCAGUUCCAUGAGUGGUUGGGGCCAGGGCCCUGCCCUUCGUGCAUUGUCCAGCUGGCUGCACCUUCUCCUCCGGGCGUUUGCUCAGCUCAUGUUGGGUGCCUGUUGGGUGCCAGGCACUGUGCUCGCUGCUGGGAAUUCCGCUGUGAACAAAACAGGCUUGGGUCCGACUCUUGGAGCGCUGAGGAAGGACCUGGUCCAAGAUAGUGGGGGCCUGUUUUGAGACCAGAAGUUUCGUACAAUAGUUGGUUCUGAGAGCGUUUGCGCCUGGAAUGAUUGCUCUCAUAGAAGACGACCACUGAGGAGCAAGGAUGCCUCCCACGCCAAAGAGACCGGUGGUGGGCACGAGAGCCCAAUCACUGCAUUCCUCCUGAGCCUCCUGCCUGCCCCGGGGAGAUGGGAUGGAUCCAGCUUCACAGCAGCCCUGCCUCCAGCCCAGCGAUUCUCUGCCAAAGCUUGUGGAGGAGGGGGGAGCCCUCUCCCUGCUUAUGUGUCUCCCCGAUGCCCCUGGCCUUUCUAUUUAUUUUCCUGAUGUAUUGCCUCUUUCCUUGCAUUAAAGGAGAUUUCCCCCUAACUGUUUGGGCCAAUUUACUGGCUAUUGACUAAUUUCCCUUGAAUACCAAUUGUGUCAUCAGGGGACUUUCUUUCCUCACCUCUGCUGGCCCCUCGCCCCUCUGCCCUGCAGAACCUGGCGGGUUCUAAGUGAUAACGGGAUUAGACUCCUGUGCCCGUCACAACCAGCCUCUGGGAUCUGCCAACACUCCUCAACCCAGGGACUCCCAAGCCACUAGCCUACUCCCUAGGUGGCCCUUCGUCCUCACCACACGUACGUCCAGCUCCUCCACCCUGGGGAAGGCUGAGCAGUGUUUUGGGAAGCUCCCGUCCUCACCCUCGCCACUCUUAGCCGUAAGCGUUAGGAGUUUAGAGAGUUGGGGAGAAACUACAGCCUGGAGCCGUGGUGUUUGGCCCCCGAGGCUCACCCUGACCCUUCGGGCCACCUGCACCUCUGGAUUCUGGACUCACAGACCAAGACCAAGCCCGUUCUUUUGCUGCCAUCAAGGCCCCGAACGGCAUUCUCGGUACUUCUGUUUGUUUUGUACAUUUUAUUAGAAAGGACUGUAAAAUAGCCACUUAGACACUUUACCUCUUCAGUAUGCAAAUGUAAAUAAGUUGUAAUAUAGGAAAUCUUUUGUUUUAAUAUAAGAAUGAGCCUGUCCAGUUUCUGCUGUACAUUAUUAAAGUUUUAUUCACAGAG